UGUGUUUUUUUGGUUUCGGUAUUUCAUAUUAACCAUUUAUGUGUUGCUUGCUUGAGGUUUUUGGUUUCUUAUUCUCAGUGGUGAUGAUGUCGAGAAGUAGGAGAGAAUUUGUGAUGGAUUGAUUCGUAUAUUUGAUCUAUGGUUUUUGCGAAAGAUAUGGUGAGAUUGUUGAUGUGAACCUGGUUAGAGAUAAAGGCACAGGAAAAUCGAAAGUGGUUUGAUUUCAUUUCUCUAGGGUUCUUAAUUAAUAUUAUUCAUGGUUUAACUUUUUUUUAUUUAAAUUGUGCUGAACGUGCUCGAAUUGCUCUUAACAAGAUUCCAGGUAUAUAUGUUCGUCAUUGCUAUUUGCCUGAUGGUUCCAUUCAGGCAGGACAUCUUACAUUUCCAGGCUAACAAGAGAUCUGGGCACUCCAAAUAAGUGAGACAGGCAAGAGUAUGUAAGACAUCCGCAAACAUCUUUUUCCGUACCUUAUUUAUGUAUUAUUUUUAAUUCCCACUCACCGGAUAAUAUUGCAUUUAAUUGAAGGGUGAAAGGCUCUUCUAUGCACGAGUGCAUACCAGUAAAUGCUUUAUUCUCAAAAUCAAGUUUUUUA